GUCUACGGCCAUACCACCCUGAACGUGCCUGAUCUCACCUGAUCUCAGAAGCUAAGCAGGGUCGGGUCUGGUUAGUACUUAGUACUUGGCUGGGAGACAAAGUCAAGUCAGCCA
ensembl:rRNA 5S_rRNA 5S ribosomal RNA